rfam:Candidatus Nitrosopelagicus brevis strain CN25, complete genome.
CCCCACUUAGCUCAGCCUGGUAGAGCUUCCGACUGUAGUUGUCGGCUUAGGGCUGAAUAACAGUAGUCUACUAGGCAUACAGAAAUCGGGUUGUCGAAGGCUCAAAUCCUUCAGUGGGGA